rnacentral:lncRNA from 1 species
GAGUUCUAAUUCAAUCUAUAGAAUUAACAAAACCUACGUAUUCUUUUUGUACUCUGUAUUUCUAGAAAUGUUGGAGGAGCUUCAAUGAGUGAGAAACUGUGAGUUACCUGCAAAAGAUAAAAGCAAAACAGAAUGCAUUGAUGAAGAUAAUUCAAUCAGCAUGCACAGCAUAGAAUUGUUAUAGAUUGGGUAACUUCAUCAAGACUUCUCCAUGACUGAAGGUGGUAGAUUCUGAAGGAUCUGGACCAAGAUAGGAUUACUGAAUAUCUCAAGAACAAUCAAGAAUGUAAGAAAAUAUCAUUGUCUGUUAAGACUCCAUCGCAGAGAAGUUAAAGAGCUUCAAUCACCAUGCUUUCAGGGUCAAUUUGUCUCCGAAAAGGAACAGAUGGGGAAGAAUUAUUCCAUUCACAGUCAGAAAUUCCAAGAUCUUGGACUGGCUGAAAGCAAUGAUGUUGCCAUUCAUCCUUUCACGUAUUCAUUAUGGUCUACAGCUGAGAAGGGCUAUUUGGGGUUUGCUUUGCCUGAUGGUAGCAGAAGAAAACCAAGAGGCCUCUCUACGAAAGCUUGCAGUAAGGAGAAAGGUAAAAUGUUAAGUCUAAAGAGAACCAAAGAAAUUACCUGGUCCAACCUUUUCAUUCUACAAGUGGGAAAACUUGCUGAAAGUUGCUUAAUUUUUCUGGAUCUGAGGCACACAGUUCAUUUAUUAU